rnacentral:lncRNA from 1 species
UUGGAAAUGAUUGUUUAGUGUAAUUGAAUCCUACAUGAGAUCCUCGCCAACAACUAUAUCCUAUGCCUCUAAUGAGAAGGCAAUAAAAGGACAAGGCAAAGUGCAAAUUACAAAGCACUCAAAUCCUCAGCCAAAAUAGAGCUUCCCUUAAAAUCUUUCUUUUCUCUUAAAGCCAUAAAUCAUGAGUACCAAACUCAUUGCUGGUAAGCACAUCUCCAUCGAUU